rnacentral:miRNA from 1 species
UUGGUGCAAAAAUAAUUGCAGUUUUUGCCAUUGACAGUAAUGGUAAAAACUGCAAUUACUUUUGCAC